UUCCCCUUCGGGGGGACAGGGUGACAGGUGGUGCAUGGUUGUCGUCAGCUCGUGUCGUGAGAUGUUGGGUUAAGUCCCGCAACGAGCGCAACCCUCGACCUUAGUUGCCAGCAUUCAGUUGGGCACUCUAAGGUGACUGCCGGCUAAAAGUCGGAGGAAGGUGGGGAUGACGUCAAAUCAUCAUGCCCCUUAUGACCUGGGCUACACACGUGCUACAAUGGGCGGUACAAAGGGUCGCGAACCCGCGAGGGGGAGCCAAUCCCAAAAAGCCGCUCUCAGUUCGGAUUGCAGGCUGCAACUCGCCUGCAUGAAGCCGGAAUCGCUAGUAAUCGCGGAUCAGCAUGCCGCGGUGAAUACGUUCCCGGGCCUU
rnacentral:rRNA from 1 species